GAUGAACGCUGGCGGCGUGCCUAAUACAUGCAAGUCGAGCGAACAGACGAGGAGCUUGCUCCUCUGACGUUAGCGGCGGACGGGUGAGUAACACGUGGAUAACCUACCUAUAAGACUGGGAUAACUUCGGGAAACCGGAGCUAAUACCGGAUAAUAUAUUGAACCGCAUGGUUCAAUAGUGAAAGACGGUUUUGCUGUCACUUAUAGAUGGAUCCGCGCCGCAUUAGCUAGUUGGUAAGGUAACGGCUUACCAAGGCAACGAUGCGUAGCCGGCCUGAGAGGGUGAUCGGCCACACUGGGACUGAGACACGGUCCAGACUCCUACGGGAGGCAGCAGUAGGGAAUCUUCCGCAAUGGGCGAAAGCCUGACGGAGCAACGCCGCGUGAGUGAUGAAGGUCUUCGGGUCGUAAAACUCUGUUAUUAGGGAAGAACAAAUGUGUAAGUAACUACGCACGUCUUGACGGUACCUAAUCAGAAAGCCACGGCUAACUACGUG
rnacentral:rRNA from 1 species